GUUCGAAGUGACCGGCGACUGCAGAGAAAUCCCAAUCAGGCCGCCCGCUGCACAAUGAAUAACAGAUCGGUAUUCAAGCAGGAACUGCAGAUGCUGGAAGAUCGAAGGUACACAAAAAUGC